AGAGUUUGAUCAUGGCUCAGGACGAACGCUGGCGGCAGGCUUAACACAUGCAAGUCGAACGCACCGCAAGGUGAGUGGCAGACGGGUGAGUAACGCGUGGGAACGUGCCCUUUGGUUCGGAAUAGCUCCGGGAAACUGGAAUUAAUGCCGGAUAAGCCCUUCGGGGGAAAGAUUUAUCGCCAAAGGAUCGGCCCGCGUCAGAUUAGGUAGUUGGUAGGGUAACGGCCUACCAAGCCGAUGAUCUGUAGCUGGUCUGAGAGGAUGAUCAGCCACAUUGGGACUGAGACACGGCCCAAACUCCUACGGGAGGCAGCAGUGGGGAAUAUUGGACAAUGGGCGAAAGCCUGAUCCAGCCAUGCCGCGUGGAUGAAGAAGGCCCUAGGGUUGUAAGGUCCUUUCGGCGGGGAAGAUAAUGACGGUACCCGCAGAAGAGCCC
rnacentral:rRNA from 1 species